rnacentral:rRNA from 1 species
CAGCAGCCGCCGCGGGAAUACGUAGGUGGCAAGCGUUGUCCGGAAUUAUUGGGCGCAAAGGGCUCGCAGGCGGUUUCUUAAGUCUGAUGUGAAAGCCCCCGGCUCAACCGGGAAGGGUCAUUGGAAACUGGGAAACUUGAGUGCAGAAGGGGAGAGUGGAAUUCCACGUGUAGCGGUGAAAUGCGUAGAGAUGUGGAGGAACACCAGUGGCGAAGGCGACUCUCUGGUCUGUAACUGACGCUGAGGAGCGAAAGCGUGGGGAGCGAACAGGAUUAGAUACCCCCGUAGUCCCUGUCUCUUAUAC